rnacentral:rRNA from 1 species
UACGAAGGGUGCAAGCGUUGUUCGGAAUUACUGGGCGUAAAGGGUUCGUAGGCGGGAAGAUAAGUUAAGUGUGAAAUCCCUGAGCUCAACUCUGGACGUGCACUUAAAACUAUUUUUCCUGAGUGUUGGAGAGGGUGGUGGAAUUGCUGGUGUAGGAGUGACAUCCGUAGAGAUCAGCAGGAACAUCGGAGGCGAAAGCGACUGCCUGGCCAAACACUGACGCUGAGGAACGAAAGCGUGGGGAGCAAACAGG